GUCGAACGCUGGCGGCGUGCUUAACACAUGCAAGUCGAACGGAAAGGCCCUGCUUUCGUGGGGUGCUCGAGUGGCGAACGGGUGAGUAACACGGGAGUCACCUGCCCUUGACUUUGGGAUAACUUCAGGAAACUGGGGCUAAUACCGGAUAGGAGCUCCAGCUGCAUGGUGGGGGUUGGAAAGUUUCGGCGGUUGGGGAUGGACUCGCGGUUUAUGAGCUUGUUGGUGGGGUAGUGGCUUACCAAGGCUUUGACGGGUAGCCGGCCUGAGAGGGUGGCCGGACUCCAUAGGACUGAGCUACGGCCCAGACUGCUACGGGAGGCAGUGGGGGGGAGAAUUGCCCAGGGGGCGGAAGCGUGAUGCAGCAACGCUGGGUUCGGGAUGACGGACAUCGUGUUGUAAACCGCAUUCGCCUGUAACGAUGCGGGAGUGACGUUAAUGGGUAAAGAAGCACCGGCUAACUACGUG
rnacentral:rRNA from 1 species